AGCAGUGUGGCUCAGUGGAAAGAGCCCGGGCUUGGGAGUCAGAGGUCACGGGUUCAAAUCCCGGCUCUGCCA
rnacentral:tRNA from 1 species